AUUGAACGCUGGCGGCAUGCCUUACACAUGCAAGUCGAACGGUAACAGGUCUUCGGAUGCUGACGAGUGGCGAACGGGUGAGUAAUGCAUCGGAACGUGCCCAGUAGUGGGGGAUAGCCCGGCGAAAGCCGGAUUAAUACCGCAUACGACCUGAGGGUGAAAGGGGGGGAUCGCAAGACCUCUCGCUAUUGGAGCGGCCGGUGUCAGAUUAGGUAGUUGGUGGGGUAAAGGCCCACCAAGCCAACGAUCUGUAGCUGGUCUGAGAGGACGACCAGCCACACUGGGACUGAGACACGGCCCAGACUCCUACGGGAGGCAGCAGUGGGGAAUUUUGGACAAUGGACGCAAGUCUGAUCCAGCCAUGCCGCGUGCGGGAAGAAGGCCUUCGGGUUGUAAACCGCUUUUGUCAGGGAAGAAAAGGGCGACUUUAAUACAGUUGCCUCAUGACGGUACCUGAAGAAUAAGCACCGGCUAACUACGUGCCAGCCGCCGCAGUAAAAC
rnacentral:rRNA from 1 species